UUGUUUUCUGUUUUUGUUUUUGUUUUUGUUUGAGGCAGAAUCUCACUCUGUCACCCAGGCUGGUGUGCAGUGUGCAGUGACACAAUCAUGGCUCACUGCAGCCUUGACUUCCCAUGCUCAGGUGACCCUCCCACCUCCGCCUCCUGAGUAGCUGGGACUACAGGCACACACCACUAUGCCAGCUAAUUUUUGAUUUUUUGUAGAGAUGGGAUUUUGCAUGUUGUUCAGGCUCUUCUGAAACUUCUGGACUCGGGGCAUCCACCCGCCUUGGCCUCCCAAAGUGCUGGGAUUACAGGUGUGAGCCACUGUGCCUGGCCAAGAAGUGGGGUUUCUGAUACAAUGGCCUUGGUGGAAUUCAGAAUUUAGAAUAGCAGUGAGAGUCUGGUGAGAGUCCAGUGAUGGCAGGGGGCCUAAUAAAGGUGGCCAAUGAAAGGCAGAAGAAGAUGGAAGAAGAAGCAAUUGGCUCUCACAAGACUAAAAUUCUAGGGCCUUCAGUCAUCAACUGCUAGCCAAUUUUCUGAAGUUUCUGGGCAUACCGCAGCGUGUGCUCCAAAAAACUUCCAUACAGUCACUGCAUCUGGGUACUGGUCACUCCACGGAAUCUCUUGGGACAAUUCCUCUUAUACCAAAUGUAACUGUCACUUUCAUGUGGACAGUCUUUUAUCCUUAACUUUGGCACAUACUUAGAUUUUAAAAUUCUUCUCAGUCCUCUAUAAUUGGCACCGUAAUUUGCAGAGUUCCUGGCUUUUAUUAUUGCAUUUCAUAUAGUCUCAGUCAAGCUCUAAGAGACUAUAAAGCCCGUGGCUGGAAUUGGAUUCAAUGCUGUAGUGCAGAGCUCAAAACCGGUUGAGGAAAAUCUGAAAGACUAGUUACUGAGAGACCAGAAUGAAUCAGGAGAGUGAGUGUGGUUCUUCAGAUGAAGAUAAGCUGAAGCUACCACUUGUCACAACUAAACAAAAGACUACAAGCAAGAGUCAUCCAUCAUAUCCCAGACAAUCCACAGAAUAUGACAGAAAAUAAAAUAUUGGUAUUUUUAGCCACUACAUUUUGGAGUGAUUUGUUAGUGGAUGGCCAAUCUUUCCUUUUGCUUAGAAUUGAAGGCUUUUGUGGGAUGCAGGACUUUGAGUGGUAAAGCUGGAACAGUCUUAGGCAAACCAAGAUAGACAGCAAUAGAUAAUCAGAACAAGCCUGUGAUCACCACUGUUUGAUCACCAUUGUUGCAUGGUGAUUAAGCAAUAGAUUCUGGGUAUAAAAACCAGCUGCUUUGACUGUAGACCUCACUAUGCUAUUCUGCCUCCGGAGUCAAAUCAGAAUAUUACAUUAAGUCAACCUUAAAUUCACUUCCAUUUCUAAAUCCUAAGUUCCUUAGCACAUCUUCAGGGAAGACCUCCAGGUAGCCCUGCUCCUCUUCUGAAUCAGAUGAGAUUCCUGCAACAUCAUACACAUACUUUGUGAUGAUCAGUUUUGCAAUUAUUUUAUUAAAAUGUGAUUUGCUCACUAGACAGCGAGUUCAUUAUUGAAUAUCUGGCACCUACCUUAGUGUUCAUUAUGUGCAAAAUGUCACUUCAAUAUUGGUUAAAAUAAUAAAUGUUUUAAAGCUCCAUAGACUGAUUUUAAAUUGUCUUUACAAUGUGAGAGAAUCAAUUUUGAUGCUGGUAAAUGUC
ensembl:lncRNA